rnacentral:rRNA from 1 species
AUUGAACGCUGGCGGCAUGCUUUACACAUGCAAGUUGAACGGUAACAGGCCGCAAGGUGCUGACGAGUGGCGAACGGGUGAGUAAUGCAUCGGAACGUGCCCAGUCGUGGGGGAUAACGCAGCGAAAGCUGCGCUAAUACCGCAUACGAUCUAUGGAUGAAAGCGGGGGACCGUAAGGCCUCGCGCGAUUGGAGCGGCCGAUGUCAGAUUAGGUAGUUGGUGGGGUAAAGGCUCACCAAGCCAACGAUCUGUAGCUGGUCUGAGAGGACGACCAGCCACACUGGGACUGAGACACGGCCCAGACUCCUACGGGAGGCCGCAGUGGGGAAUUUUGGACAAUGGGCGCAAGCCUGAUCCAGCAAUGCCGCGUGCAGGAAGAAGGCCUUCGGGUUGUAAACUGCUUUUGUACGGAAUGAAACGGUCCUGGUUAAUACCCGGGGCUAAUGACGGUACCGUAAGAAUAAGCACCGGCUAACUACGUGCCAGCCGCCGCCGUAAAAC